UAGAUGUAUAGAGGGUGAUGCCUGCCCAAUGGUUGUAUCUAAAAGCGGUUGAUAAAAGUCGACCUCGUAAGGACAAUUGAAUGGCCGCGGUAACACUGACCGUGAUAAUGUAGCGUAAUCAAUAGCCAAUUAAUUGUUGGCCAGUAUGAAUGGCGCCACGAAGGCCCCACUGUCUUAAGGAAAUUCCCAGUGAAAUUGAAUUCGUAAUGAAGAUGCUACAUCCAAUUUGUUAGACGAAAAGACCCCGUUGAGCUUUACUGGGGCACUUACACGGCCCCGGCCUUCCCGUGCCCGGGAACCGGCCGAAUUUAAAUGGGUGGUUUAGACUAUGUGGCAGCCCCCCGCCGGGGCAGAUGAAACCCCACUCCCCCAUGUCAAAGGGGCUAACCCCCCCCUUGGGGGGGACAGUGUAAGUAGGACAGUUUGGUUGGGGCGACCGCCUUUUAAAGAGUAACGAAGGUGCGCUUAAGGUGCGCAAUUAAUGACUGAAGCCUGACUGCGAGGGGGACACCCCGAGCAGACACCCCCAAGCCCGCCCGAAGGGCGGCGGUGGGGUGGGCCAUAGUGACCCGUUAAUUUAGAGUGGAAUAGUUAACGAUCAACGAAUAAAAGUUACCACGGGGAUAACAGCGUAAUAUCGUUAGAGAGUUCACAUCGACGACGAUGUUUGCGACCUC
rnacentral:rRNA from 1 species